UACCGGGGGGGUAAGCGUUGUUCGGAAUUACUGGGCGUAAAGGGCUCGUAGGCGGCCAACUAAGUCAUACGUGAAAUCCCUCAGCUUAACUGGGGAACUGCGUGUGAUACUGGAUGGCUUGGAUUUGGGAGAGGGAUGCGGAAUUCCAGGUGUAGCGGUGAAAUGCGUAGAUAUCGGGAGGAACACCAGUGGCGAAGGCGACUACCUGGCCUGUUCUUGACGCUGAGGCGCGAAAGCUAGGGGAGCAAACGGG
rnacentral:rRNA from 1 species